rfam:Schistosoma rodhaini strain Burundi genome assembly, scaffold: SROB_scaffold0001827
GCACUGCUGAGGAGUCCUACGAUAGGACGAAACGGCCGUCCAGUGC